GCCCUUUUAACUCAGUGGUAGAGUA
rnacentral:tRNA from 3 species